rnacentral:lncRNA from 1 species
AACAAAUAUAUAUAUAUAUACAUAUAUAUAUAUAUAUAUAUAUAUUUGUAUAUAUACUUUGCUUUUUAGGGCUGUGCCUGUGGCAUAUGGAGGUUCCCAGGCUAGGGGUCGAGUCAUAGCUAUAGCCGCUAGCCUACACCACAGCCACAGCAACGCCAGAUCCGAGCUGUGUCUGCAACCUACACUGCAGUUCACAGCAAUGCUGGAUCCUUAACCUACUGAGCGGGGCCAGGGGUCAAAGCUGUGUCCUCAUGGAUACUAGUCAGAUUCAUUUCCACCGAGCCACAAUGGAACUCCUAAAUAUAUAUUUUUACAUCUGUAUUUUUAAAAUUUCUAUUUAAAUGUCAAAACCCUGUGUUCACAGAGAUAUCUCCAAUGCUAAUACCCCAAGAUUCAUUCCAGUUUUUCUUUCUUUUCGUAUUUGUAACUCCCUUCCCCAACUGUGAGAAAUCUAGCUCCCAAUAUCCUCAGUAUAUUUAUUUGCUCAGUUCUCCUGUGUAUAACCAAUCUCCUGCUGCCAAUCCCCCUCAUGCUGGUUUUCUGUUUGCUUUGCUUAGGCUUUGAAACCAGAUGUCUCACCUUGCUUGGGCUGUGACACUGAUUGCUGUCAUACAGAGAGACUCUCCCCACUUCAUGGGGCUGACAGCCUGCACGUGGCCACACCUCCGUGUGGAUACCUUCUUCACCCUGGUCAGCCUUUGACAACCCACUCUGGGCCUUCUCCUGGCUGGGACUUUAUUUUCACCCAUUUCAAAGAGCUCUGCCACCCCAAACUGGGCCACCACUGUCACCAUUUCCUUAGGAGAAAAAGCCAACAGAAACAUAAAAAGGAAAAACAUGAGGUGGUCCCCAUGGGUCAUGGCGCUCAGGACGGGAUGAGUCCCAAGGAUUUAAACUUCAGAGCCAACCAGCGAGCAUGCACCUUUGGCAUAGUUGAUAUCUGGAUUUAAUGUAUCUGAAGCUGGCAGAUUCUAUGUGUGAAGCAGAAAUAACUAAAUUUUAGUUGGAUGGGUCAAGCCCUCAUGGCAGAACAGCCUGGACAGUCUACUUUGAGCAGAUGCCUUGGCAAGUUGAAGGCGCAAUGACACAAUGAUUGCCAACCUAGUCCUGGCCCAGUGGUUCAUUUCAUACUCCAAGAACCUUCAGUCUUUCAGUGGCGGCAUGGUUUAUCCAAUGUGUUUUCCAUACCACACCCUGAUGUGGUUAAAUUCUAAAAUCACCCGCCUAUGUGGUGUGAUUAUGGGUUCAACUUCUCUUUCUUCUUCACAUGCUAUAUUUGGGUGACUCUACCAUGCCAAUUAUAUCGAAGGUCUCUUGGCCACUUCCAUUUUAGUUGUAUAACUUGAUGGCAAACUCACUCCAGAACGUCUAAAAUUGUUGCCUCUAGAAUUUUGUUCGAGU